CGUACGCCGGUUGCCCGGCUCGUGACGCUCGUCUAGGUUGCCCAAGACGCUGGUUGCCCAGCUAAUGGUCCAGGUUGCCUUGGACGCUGGUAGCCCGGCACGUCUCGUGGUCUAGGUUGCCCUAGACGCUGGUUGCCCAGCUCGCAUAAGCACUAAAGUCCAGGUUGCUC